GAUGAACGCUGGCGGCGUGCUUAACACAUGCAAGUCGAACGGAAAGGCCCAAGCUUGCUUGGGUACUCGAGUGGCGAACGGGUGAGUAACACGUGGGUGAUCUGCCCUGCACUUCGGGAUAAGCCUGGGAAACUGGGUCUACUACCGGAUAGGACCACAUUUUGGAUGGUGUGGUGGAAAGUUUUUCGGUGUGGGAUGAGCUCGCGGCCUAUCAGCUUGUUGGUGGGGUAAUGGCCUACCAAGCCGUCGACGGGUAGCCGGCCUGAGAGGGUGUACGGCCACAUUGGGACUGAGAGACGGCCCAGACUCCUACGGGAGGCAGCAGUGGGGAAUAUUGCACAAUGGGCGCAAGCCUGAUGCAGCGACGCCGCGUGGGGGAUGACGGCCUUCGGGUUGUAAACUCCUUUCGCUAGGGACGAAGCGCAAGUGACGGUACCUGGAGAAGAAGCACCGGCUAACUACGUG
rnacentral:rRNA from 1 species